AUUGAACGCUGGCGGAAUGCUUUACACAUGCAAGUCGAACGGUAGAGGGGGCAACCCCUCGAGAGUGGCGAACGGGUGAGUAAUAUAUCGGAACGUGCCCAGUCGGGGGGGAUAACGUAGCGAAAGUUACGCUAAUACCGCAUACGAUCUAAGGAUGAAAGCGGGGGAUCGCAGGACCUCGCGCGAUUGGAGCGGCCGAUAGCAGAUUAGGUAGAUGGUGGGGUAAAGGCUUACCAAGCCAACGAUCUGUAGCUGGUCUGAGAGGACGACCGGCCACACUGGAACUGAGACACGGUCCAGACUCCUACGGGAGGCAGCAGUGGGGAAUUUUGGACAAUGGACGCAAGUCUGAUCCAGCCACUCCGCGUGCAGGAUGAAGGCCCUCGGGUUGUAAACUGCUUUUGUACGGAACGAAAAGGUCUCUCUUAAUACGGGGGGCUCAUGACGGUACCGUAAGAAUAAGCACCGGCUAACUACGUGCCAGCAGCCGCCGUAA
rnacentral:rRNA from 1 species